AGCGAACGCUGGCGGCAGGCUUAACACAUGCAAGUCGAACGGGCACUUCGGUGUCAGUGGCAGACGGGUGAGUAACGCGUGGGAACAUACCUCUUGGUUCGGAACAACACAGGGAAACUUGUGCUAAUACCGGAUAAGCCCUUACGGGGAAAGAUUUAUCGCCGAGAGAUUGGCCCGCGUCUGAUUAGCUAGUUGGCGUGGUAAAAGCGCACCAAGGCGACGAUCAGUAGCGGUCUGAGAGGAUGAUCAGCCACAUUGGGACUGAGACACGGCCCAAACUCCUACGGGAGGCAGCAGUGGGGAAUAUUGGACAAUGGGCGCAAGCCUGAGCCAGCCAUGCCGCGUGAGUGAUGAAGCCCUAGGGUUGUAAAGCUCUUUUGUACGGGAAGAUAAUGAC
rnacentral:rRNA from 1 species